rnacentral:rRNA from 1 species
GAUGAACGCUGGCGGCGUGCCUAAUACAUGCAAGUCGAGCGAACAGACGAGGAGCUUGCUCCUCUGACGUUAGCGGCGGACGGGUGAGUAACACGUGGAUAACCUACCUAUAAGACUGGGAUAACUUCGGGAAACCGGAGCUAAUACCGGAUAAUAUAUUGAACCGCAUGGUUCAAUAGUGAAAGACGGUUUUGCUGUCACUUAUAGAUGGAUCCGCGCCGCAUUAGCUAGUUGGUAAGGUAACGGCUUACCAAGGCAACGAUGCGUAGCCGACCUGAGAGGGUGAGAGGCCACACUGGAACUGGGACACGGUCCAGACUCCUACGGGAGGCAGCAGUAGGGAAUCUUACGUAAUGGGCGAAAGCCUGACGGAGCAACGCCGCGUGAGUGAUGAAGGUCUUCGGAUCGUAAAACUCUGUUAUUAGGGAAGAACAAAUGUGUAAGUAACUAUGCACGUCUUGACGGUACCUAAUCAGAAAGCCACGGCUAACUACGUG